rfam:Exophiala xenobiotica strain CBS 118157 unplaced genomic scaffold supercont1.4, whole genome shotgun sequence.
GGUGAGGUGGCCGAGUGGUUAUGGCGCAAGUUUCAGGACAGCCUGGAGCUUCUGCUUCUCAGGAACCCUACUUGUGGGUAACAGUCAGUCAAUAUCCAUAUCUAACAAACGAGAGUAAUUCUAACAGUUCCUAGCCGCGUGGGUUCGAAUCCCACCCUCAUCA